ensembl:lincRNA
GUAACGUGUAAACCUGCACAACAAACCUGAAAUGAUGUCUCUUUUUUCUCGCAAGACCAAGUCUGAAGUUGAAGUGCAGUAUUAUGUGCACGGGAUGUCAUUUGGAGCAGAAAAUGGAUUUUUGAAGAAGCUCAGAUCAUGUUUGGAAAAACAAUCCGUGGAUCUGAAAUUGACAGAAUACCUCUCCACUCGUGGUUCCAUACCUGUCCUCCUUUUCUGUGUCAAUGCCACACACGUGGCCAAUGAAGCCAGAAAAGCUCUUGCACAAAUCGGUGGAAGACCUGCAUUCCUGAUUGUGAUGAAUCACUUUCCAAAGCAUUCACGCAGAAAGGAUCCUCAUAGUGCCUCACAUGUCCAAGCACAGAAUAUCUGUGCAGUGCUGGAUUGCUUCUUCUCCGAGUCAGAUGGCAUGUAUGAUUGUGUGGAGAAUACGGAGGUCGUGAAAAAAGUGGCAAAUCAACUUGUACCAAUGGCAAGUUUUACUCAACAACAUGAUAACAGUCCAUGGCAACACUUAACAAGUACUGGGAGUUCGCAGCAUGAUCAAGAAUGGAACAGAUUCGACGUUGAAAUCAAUUUUAAUGCUGAUCCAGGUUCUAGCAACAUGAAUUCUUCAAAAACACAUCGUUCAUCUAAUGAAGAAAAUACAAGAUCAAAAGCUCAGAAAACUCAACAAUCAGUUUUCUUGCAGUAUGAGACAUAUGGAAAUUCAAAGGGAGCAGAACAAGGUUUUUUGAAGAAGUUGAAAUGCUAUUUCCACAAGAUAAAUGUGGAUCUGCGUAUCGAGCCGUAUACAAGAACAACCCCCAUUUCUGACACCAAACCUCUCGUCCUUUUCUGUGUUAACUCUUCUCGUGUGGGCACUGAUGCUCAAGCUGCAUUACAACGCAUUGCAAGUGACGAACCUGUAAUAUUGAUUGUGUUGAAUCACUUUCAAAAGAAAGCAAACCUGGCAAAUCCUCACAGCGCCACACACGUUCAACAAAGUAAUGUCCGUGCAGUGGUGGAUUGCUUCUUCUUCGAGUCAGACGGCGUAUACGACUGUGACCAGAAUGAGGAGGCUGUGAUGCGAGUUGGAAAUGAAAUUAUAUCAAGGCUAAGUACUCUUGGACAUCGUGAUGACAUUCAAACAGUGUCAUCCAUGUCCAGCUCAGAUGGUUCGGCUGACCCUCAGCCUGAUAUUUCCCAAUUUAAUCAGCGAUUCCUCGAAAAUGAUAAUCUUCAAGUUAUUUUGCAGUAUCAAAAACCAACAGCAAAUGAAGACCUUUUAAAGAAACUGGAAUCAGAUCUACAGAAGCAGUGUCAUCAGAUUUUUCAGAACACAACAAAAUCCAUCUCAUCCAACAUUGAACAGAGUCUUUCACACUUUCAUUACUUUUCCACCAGGACUGAUGCCCUUCAUAUUAUUCGACACAUUGAAGCCCGGUCCCUCAUUGAGGUUUCCAUCAAACGCAAGCCAAGGGGACCAGAUUUAUUUGAUCCUGAGAAAGUUCAACAGACAGGCCAUGCAGUGGUGGACAUCUUCUUGUUUCAAACAAAUGCAAGUUACAACAGUGAGGAGAAUCAGGAGGGUUUGAGACUCAUGAAAGAGAAAAUAACUUCAAUAAACAACACUGGAGGAACAAUUCAAACUGAUGAUCCAAUGUGUGGUGUCCCAUCUGAGUCUGAAGGUUCUGCGAUGUGUUCUGAUCACGAGAAACUUCAAACGACUUCUUUAACUCCCCCAGAUUAUCAUUAUUACACAUAUCGCGACCAAGACAAAAUAGCAGAAAUCUUUCUUGAAACACUGGAAGAGACAUUGAAGAAAAGUUCCACUGUUUUAAAAUCUGAAAAGUUGAAAAAACCACCAAAUGAAUGUGCAUCCACAACAAGGCCUACCUUGCUGUUUUGUCGAAACAAAGAUAUUGAAUCUGAAACUUUCCCAUCAGAUGAAGGCACUAUAGUGAUCAUAACGGAUGACAAGGAGCAGGCAGACGACCAGAUGCCAGUUUCUGUAAGGUACAUUAGGAAUCGCACAGCCCGAUUAGUGGUUCAUUACUCUUUGUCAGAAUCAAAUCGAACCAUGAACAUGAACAUGAACAUUGUGGAAACCGUGGCCGCAACUUUACGAAGUAUCACUGACAAACAUUCUUCUCAGCUGAGCAAAUGAGUGUAAGUAGUUGUAUUGUUCAGAAAUUAUCCACUUUUGCUAUUGUAUGUUGGUUGAUCUCAUGUGACUUGCUGAUACGAGGUUGCGGAAACAUUACCAGAUGUUUGUGAAGAUUCCACUGAUUGUAAUGCAGGUUAUUAUGAUGAGUAUAGCUUGUACUCUUGUGAGCAUGUUUCUUCAAAAUGAUACAAAACACAAUGAUUGCAUGUCCUAAAUGGGUUUUUCCAAAUGAGGUUCCUGCACAAAAAAAAGGUUUUUGGGUUCUCCUGUAAGUUAUUAAAAGUCCGAGUUGACAAUGUAAUUGCGACAUGUAAGUUCCAGAGAAUGAUACGAACCCUAUGGCUGGAUUAAUGAGGAGGUUGGCAGGUUUUCAGACAAGGUCGUGAUUAAUUAUAAUAUAAUCAGCGGGGUGAUAACUUCUUAACUAUUGAGGUUGGCACUGUCUGGGUCUGCUUCUGGAAGGUUUAAAAGGCAACAAUACAAAUGUCAAGGACCGAACAAACAUCGUAAUUGAAAUAAAAUUGAAAAACUGCUUGAAAUAAUCUUUGGAGAGUGAGAGUGAGAUGUUCCAAACUGAGCUACACACUACAGAACCCUUUUUGAAGCCUCGAGAAACGAUUCUUCCAAUGAAACUGCAACAUGUCCAGGAUGAAUUCUGAGCGAAGCCUGUGCGCCCAAUAUACUAUCCAAUGGGGUAUGGGAGUAACAACAAUGAGACAAACCCAAAUAAUACAUGCCAGGAAGUGUGCCGUGAUUAUAGAGAUUUCUUGAAGAGGGUCACAGGAGCAACGUGAUAAAUUGUGUCAGAAAUUGAUAUUUUUCAAUAAAGCAAUGGAAGCAAUGGAACUUCCACCAAUUGAGAUUUUCACUCUUUCUCUCCAAAUGAGUUGAUGGUUUACUGACCAAAAUGGUUAUUCUUGCAUAUUGUGUGUCAGCACACUCAAAACAGCUUCCAAAAAAAUGAUAGAAAGGAAAGCAAUUUCUGUGAAAUAAAAAAAAUGGAAAAUCUGGUGAUUGUUGAAGUGAAAACCCACAUUCCAUAACACACUGCUCAAUGGGUGUGUUCAGAUGUUUUGUUUUUGUUUUGUUUCCCUGAUCGAGUAGCUGUUGAUAUAUUUCCAGUAUCAAGUCUAAAAUAGUUUUGUUUUUAUUUCAGGUUGCAACAGAAGAAAGCAAGGUGGACAUUUCAAAUGCUCCAUCAGCUUCUCUUGUCAUGGAUUAUUUGAGAUGGCAGGAAUUAUGUGAGGGUGAAAUUUAUGAACUGGCUUCGAUAAUGAAUUAUAUAAGAACCAAUCUUGCUUUAGACCUGAAACUUGUUUUCAUCAGAGUCUUUCUAUCGUCAAACCUGACUUUGUAGAUUGGAACCAGGGAUGUUUGCUUUGUAUAACAGUGAUUCUGUACAAUGUAUGUCAAUGAACAUUCAGUAGUUGUUAUGGAAGGAAGGUGACUCGUUUUUCUUAUCCUCAACCCCUCAAUGACCCUUCAUUCAUGAAUCAUCUCUCGUUACCCUUGAUCCCUCAUCAUUGAUGCAAUCCCCUUUUGAUUCUUCAUUUCUAAUCUGACUGAGCCCCUUCAAACUUUCAGACAACUCAACAAUAAUUACGAUUCCCCUCUCCAUCCUCGCAUUGCUCUUGCACACACGAAGGGCUAAUGCGGGAAACGUCGGCUUUACUUUGCUCCCUUGACUUUUAGCACACCUUUAUCAACAUUUCAUUGAUAAACCGAUAAUUGGAAUUGUCCAAUCACACUAACCAACACUAGCCUUGAGAAAGUAUAGUAAUAUUGUGUUGUAGGAGUUUUAUAAAGGGUAGUUUAAUGUCGAAAAGAUGACCUACUCCAAACUUCUACCAAUUCAGAUUUUUACUCUUUCUCUCCAAAUGAGUUGAUAGUUUAAUGAUCAAAAAGGUUCCUCCUCCUCUUCCUCCUCCUCCUGAGUCCAGGUGACCCCAUACCCACAACAACUGGGAUAAUUUAAUAGUGGUUGAUUUAGAAAGGCCAAUUUUCAAACUUCUUUGUAACAUUAUUGAACUUUGUGCAUUUGCCGAAUAAUUUAAUAAUUUGAUUUAUUUUUCUCUAAAUCUACACCUGCUUGUUUGAAAGACAGACUGCUUUUUCGUUGCUUGCUAUUAACCAUUGCAAAUGAUUUAUUAAAGAUAAACAUGGCACUUUUACAGCUUUCAGUUGAUCAUAUAGAAAAGUUAGAGACUUAUGUAUUGGGAUUUGGUAUUUGCUUAUGAAUGGAGAGUUUACAGAAUUGUACCCAGCACAUGGGCAAGAAAGGGACUGGCAGAGAUGCGUGGGGACUGGUAAUGCUUCUUUUCCUCUUCUUCUUCAUAUUACACUGGAAUUUGUUUGCUGUGUUGCCUCUCCAGUAAAAAAAAACAUUUUGGUGAAGAGUUUUUCAACAAACUGUCAUCUGUGGGAUAUUUGCCAGCAUUGCUGUAUGGACUAUCAGUUAAAGUGAGAAUUUGAAUCAUUGACUGACUAUUUUGUGAUUAUAGAUAUUUAUCUCUCUGUAUGCAUUAAAAUUUAAAUGGCAUUUUGAAGGAAGUUAUAGGGGAUAGAUUAUUGUUUGGCCUGCAUCUGAAAAUGACCAAGACUCACAGGGAUUUGUUGUCUGUUUGAAACUUGACAUUUGAGACGAAGACAGACUGCAUUGUUGAAGAAAUGACCUAAAAAGGAAAUAAAGAACUGGACUAUUUGGCAGUAGAAGUCGUCAUAAAUAGAUUUCUGGGGGCCGAGAGGUGGGGUUGACGGGAGAGCGGUUGCAAGAAGUCAGGUGAGU